GGCUUAUUGAAAAUAAUUUUAAGUCUGGCCUGCCCAAUGAUUUUUAUUAAAUGGCCGCGGUAAUUUGACCGUGCAAAGGUAGCAUAAUCAUUAGUUUCUUAAUUAGAAGCUUGUAUGAAAGGUUUAAUGAAAAAAUAGCUGUCUCUGUUUAAAUUUUUUAAAAUUUUAUUUUUAAGUUAAAAAGCUUAAAUUUUAAUGGAAGACGAGAAGACCCUAUAGAGUUUUAUAAAUUUAUUAAUAAAUGAAAUUUUAGUAUUAUUAAGUUUAUUUAUAGGUUUAUUUGAUUGGGGUGAUUGGAAAAUUUAUUAAACUUUUUUUAAAUGCUAACACUGAUAUGUGAAUAUUUGAUCCUUUAUUUAAGAUUAAAAGAUACAAUUACCUUAGGGAUAACAGCGUUAUUUUUUUUUAGAGUUCAAAUCGAAAGAAAAGAUUGCGACCUCGAUGUUGGAUUAAAAGAAAUUAUUGGUGUAGAAGCUAAUAAAUUAGGUCUGUUCGACCUUUAAAAUUUUACAUGAUCUGAGUUUAAACCGGUGUGAG
rnacentral:rRNA from 1 species